GAUGAACGCUGGCGGCGUGCCUAAUACAUGCAAGUCGAGCGAACAGAUGAGGUGCUUGCUCCUCUGACGUUAGCGGCGGACGGGUGAGUAACACGUGGAUAACCUACCUAUAAGACUGGGAUAACUUCGGGAAACCGGAGCUAAUACCGGACAAUAUAUUGAACCGCAUGGUUCAAUAGUGAAAGACGGUUUUGCUGUCACCUAUAGAUGGAUCCGCGCCGCAUUAGCUAGUUGGUAAGGUAACGGCUUACCAAGGCAACGAUGCGUAGCCGACCUGAGAGGAUGAUCGGCCACACUGGAACUGAGACACGGUCCAGACUCCUACGGGAGGCAGCAGUAGGGAAUCUUCCGCAAUGGGCGAAAGCCUGACGGAGCAACGCCGCGUGAGUGAUGAAGGUCUUCGGAUCGUAAAACUCUGUUAUUAGGGAAGAACAAGUGUGGAAGUAACUAUGCACGGCUUGACGGUACCGAAACAGAAAGCCACGGCUAACUACGUG
rnacentral:rRNA from 1 species